GAUGAACGCUGGCGGCGUGCCUAAUACAUGCAAGUCGAGCGAACGGACGAGAAGCUUGCUUUUCUGAUGUUAGCGGCGGACGGGUGAGUAACACGUGGAUAACCUACCUAUAAGACUGGGAUAACUUCGGGAAACCGGAGCUAAUACCGGAUAAUAUUUUGAACCGCAUGGUUCAAAAGUGAAAGACGGUCUUGCUGUCACUUAUAGAUGGAUCCGCGCUGCAUUAGCUAGUUGGUAAGGUAACGGCUUACCAAGGCAACGAUGCAUAGCCGACCUGAGAGGGAGAUCGGCCACACUGGAACUGAGACACGGUCCAGACUCCUACGGGAGGCAGCAGUAGGGAAUCUUCCGCAAUGGGCGAAAGCCUGACGGAGCAACGCCACGUGAGUGAUGAAGGUCUUCGGAUCGUAAAACUCUGUUAUUAGGGAAGAACAUAUGUGUAAGUAACUGUGCACAUCUUGACGGUACCUAAUCAGAAAGCCACGGCUAACUACGUG
rnacentral:rRNA from 1 species